CUUUCACAUUUUAUUGUCAAAUUCAUUAAAUUUAAAAGCUCGGAACUAAUGAGCUCCGAACUGCGGCCUAGUGCCCAAGUGUACGUUCCCCUAGAAGUGAGCCCCAGUAAGGGGGCCCCGAAGCCUUCGCAGAGUUCGCGAUAUUCGCGUAAAAGCGUGCGUGUAAUGACAGGGGACUCCCCUAGACCCAUUCUGGGAACGAAAGCCCCCUUUCCAAGGGCCAUUCUUGGCCGAAAGGAACAAUAUUCCGUGUCAUCAUUGACGAGAAAUAUGCAACAGAAAUUGCGUGCAGUGUAAACAGAUGUUUGGGCCGUAUUUUCAAGGAAGGGCCUGUGGGGAUGCGUGUGUUUCGACCAAUGGCAGACUGGUGCCAGAUUGCAACAAUGCAGGAACUUUGGGCAACUUUUUGAAACGAUUGUAUUAGUUUGUUUGUAGAGGGUGUUAGGAGUUAUUAGAACAAUAAAGAACAUUUCAUAUCGCA